UACGUAGGGGGCAAGCGUUGUCCGGAUUUAUUGGGCGUAAAGAGCGUGUAGGCGGCCAGACAGGUCCGUUGUGAAAACUCGAGGCUCAACCUCGAGACGUCGAUGGAAACCGUCUGGCUAGAGUCCGGAAGAGGAGUGUGGAAUUCCUGGUGUAGCGGUGAAAAUGGCGCAGAGUAUCAGGAAGAACACCUAUGGCGAAGGCAGCUCUCUGGGGACGGUGACUGGACGCUGAGACGCGAAAGCGUGGGGAGCGAACAGG
rnacentral:rRNA from 1 species